rnacentral:rRNA from 1 species
GACGAACGCUAGCGGCGUGCCUAAUACAUGCAAGUAGGACGCAGUUGCGAACGGGUGAGUAACGCGUAGGUAACUACCUAUUAGAGGGGGAUAACUAUUGGAAACGAUAGCCAAUACCGCAUACUAGUAGAUGGACCUGCGUUGUAUUAGCUAGUAGGUAGGGUAACGACCUACCUAGGCAACGAUAAAUAGCCGACCGGGGAGGGUGAUCGGCAAAACUGGGACUGAUACACGGCCCAGACUCCUACGGGGGGCAGCAGGAGGGAAGCUUCGGAAAAGGGGGGAACCCUGACAGAGCAACGCCGCGUGAGUGAAGAAGGUUUUCGGAUCGUAAAGCUCUGUUGUUAAGGAAGCGGUACUUAACCAGAAAGGGACGGCUAACUACGUGCCAGCCGCCGCGGUAAUUC